GGGUGGGUGAUGAAAGAAAUCAGACGGAUUCCCACUGAUUUUUCCAUGAUAAUGACAACUAUCUACUUCUGACGCCU